rnacentral:rRNA from 1 species
UACGUAGGGGGCAAGCGUUGUCCGGAAUUAUUGGGCGUAAAGAGCGCGUAGGCGGUCCGAUAAGUCGGCUGUGAAAGUCCAGGGCUCAACCCUGGAAAGCCGGCCGAUACUGUCGGACUAGAGUCCGGAAGAGGCAAGUGGAAUUCCCGGUGUAGCGGUGAAAUGCGCAGAUAUCGGGAGGAACACCAAUGGCGAAGGCAGCUUGCUGGGACGGUACUGACGCUGAGGCGCGAAAGCCAGGGGAGCAAACGGG